GUCUACGGCCCUGCCCCCCAGAACAAGCCCGGUCCCGUCUGAUCUUGGAAGCUCAGCAAGGUUGGGUCUGCUUAGUACUUGGAUGGGAGACCCCCUAGAAAGACCAGGUGCUGUAGGUG
rfam:Pteropus alecto contig77508, whole genome shotgun sequence.